rnacentral:lncRNA from 1 species
GGCGGUUGACGCAGACGGUGGAGCUCGCGGAGGGGGAGCCACCGCCGUGGACAGCUGCCACUUCCCAGCGAUGCGUGCUUCGGUGCUGACCAUCGUCUGCCUGCUGGCGCUGGCUAGCGUCUGCUCGGCCUCCCAACAGCCCACUGGCGGGAGAGGAUGCCCAUCCAAUGAGGGCAUCAUCACGACAUGCGAAUACAUAGAAGGAAUUCACUGCAUCACGCAGGAAAACUGCUCUCCGGGGAAGAUCUGCUGUCCAUACGGCUGUGGAUCCAGAUGUUUCUAUCCCUACCAGGGGUGAAGAAUGGUACUGGAUGAACAAUUCCCCUCCGGAUGUGUUGCGUUCAUUUGCAGGGCUUUAGCGUGCGGUGUCACGUAUUCCAAACGUGAAUGCUGUUCUAUGUUCGACCACAACUCAUCCGGCAAUUAGUCAGCAUAUCUUGUGGUUCCCUCGGUAUGCUACGUGGGUUUUGAUACACCUUGAGCAUGUGACUUCAUGCCUUUGAAACGUAUCAAUCAAAAAUGGGUUUAGUAUCGGCCUCAGUUAAUGCAGAUUAAUAAACUUUGAUAUCCGAA